rnacentral:rRNA from 1 species
UACGUAGGGUGCAAGCGUUGUCCGGAAUUAUUGGGCGUAAAGAGCUCGUAGGCGGUCUGUCGCGUCGGCUGUGAAAACCCGGAGCUCAACUCCGGGCCUGCAGUCGAUACGGGCAGACUGGAGUUCGGCAGGGGAGACUGGAAUUCCUGGUGUAGCGGUGAAAUGCGUAGAUAUCUGGAGGAACACCGGUGGCGAAGGCGGCAUCCUGGACCAACACUGACGCUGAGGAGCGAAAGCCAGGGGAGCAAACGGG